AUAAAAUAAAGAAAUGAAACUUACUAGGCAGACAAAACAGCAAACUUUCAGUCUGGGGAAACACAUCUUUGCUGGGACUUCUAAAAGCAGGCUGGAGCUAAAAUACUGUACAACCGUGCUCCUUGUGCAUGCACAGUGCGUGCAAAUCACUAACAGUUUUGGCCAGAAAUGGUGAGAAGAAAAAGCAUGAAGAAGCCGCGAAGUGGAGGAGAAAAGGUGAAGAGAGAUGCAGCUCCUGGAGAAUUUGUAAAAAAGCCUUGCAAAGAGUUGUCGGAAGGACCGUUAUUCCUGCUGGGCAGGAGAGAGAGGAGAGACCCUGAAACACGCGCCACCUAUCUUUGUGGGGAGGGAUAAUUGAAGAGCACCAAACGUGAGCAUCAUGUGGAAACGUGAUCGCCAAGUUUCUCUCUGGGAAAGGAUCUGGGAUAGAUUAUACCUUGAAGUCUCCGCAAACGCUUUAGUGGAAGAAAUGAAAUUCCACCUCCCUCCCGCUCUGUCUCCCUCCUCCCUCUCUCCGACCCUCGCUCCCUUUCCUCCCUCCUCCCUCCUCCCCCCCCCCCCGCAACCAUCAAGUCUUUGGCAUCAUUAUCCUCUUCACUAAAUCCUACUGGAUACACGGCGGAAAACGGUGAACACCAUUCACAGAACUGGAUAACUCAAAGGAACUGAAAGUUAAGGGGAGCGAUCCUGUGUCUUUCAAUCAAGAUCCCUACUUCUUUUUAUAGAGAUAGCUCUAAUGGCCAGAUUCUGCAGGCACAUUCACUUGGGUAGCUUUGUCAGCAUGGGUUCUAGCAGGAAAGUCUCUUUCUCCUUCUCAGUCCCCCUUCCACCCCUUAACCCCUUCUUUCAGAUCAGCAAACCAUAGCUCAAAAUUAUGGGUAGAAACUAAACUCUGUAUUUGAAUUGGAAAAAAAAGGCACCUAGUUGACUUCUGAUCAUUUUGUUGUUGAGGUUUGCUGUUGUUUCGAGGUUCAACAAUCUUAUUUGAAUUGUCUGUUAUAUCUAGUGAAAAACGUGAGAUUUGACAUUCUUUCUGUUUUGUUCCCAGAUAUGCUCAUGGGGUGAAAUGGCUCUUUUUCUGUCUCUCUUCCCUUUUUGGGGGGAAGGAGAUAGCUAGCUAGAGUGACUGGGUGAGUGGCACUGAACUUGUGGGGAUAACAAGUUUAACAGUUUUUAAAAUAGGAAAAUAAUAAUAAUAAUAAUUAUAAUAAUACUAAUAAUAUUAAAAACCAGACUCCACCUUUGCACU